rnacentral:miRNA from 1 species
AAGCAAGAGGUGUCAGAAAAGUUACCACAAGUAUAACUGGCUUGUGAUGGCUAAGCGUUCAUAGUGACGUUGCUUUCUGAUCCUU